GAUGAACGCUAGCGGCAGGCUUAAUACAUGCAAGUCGAGGGACAGCACAGGUAGCAAUACUGGGUGGUAACCGGCAAACGGGUGCGGAACACGUACACAACCUUCCUUUAAGUGGGGGAUAGCCCAGAGAAAUUUGGAUUAAUACCCCGUAAUAUAGUUGAAUGGCAUCAUUUGAUUAUUAUAGCUACGGCGCUUAAUGAUGGGUGUGCGGCUGAUUAGAUAGUUGGCGGGGUAACGGCCCACCAAGUCUACGAUCAGUAGCUGAUGUGAGAGCAUGAUCAGCCACACGGGCACUGAGACACGGGCCCGACUCCUACGGGAGGCAGCAGUAAGGAAUAUUGGUCAAUGAACGCAAGUCUGAACCAGCCGUGCCACGUGAAGGAUUAAGGUCCUCUGGAUUGUAAACUUCUUUUAUUUGGGACGAAAAAGGGCCUUUCUAGGUCAACUGACGGUACCAGAUGAAUAAGCACCGGCUAACUCCGUGCCAGCCGCCGCAGUAAGAC
rnacentral:rRNA from 1 species